AUUGAACGCUGGCGGCAGGCCUAACACAUGCAAGUCGAGCGGAGCGGCGGACGGGUGAGUAAUGCCUGGGAAUCUGCCUGGUAGUGGGGGAUAACGUCCGGAAACGGGCGCUAAUACCGCAUACUAUCAGAUGAGCCUAGGGCGGAUUAGCUAGUUGGGUGGGUAAAGGCCUACAAAGGCGACGAUCCGUAACUGGUCUGAGAGGAUGAUCAGGCACAACGGAACUGAGGCACGGUCCAGACUCCGACGGGAGGCAGCAGUGGGGAAGAUUGGAAAAGUGGCGAAAGCCUGAUCCAGCCAGGCCGCGGGUGUGAAGAAGGUCUUCGGAUUUUAAAGCACUUUAAGUUGGGAGGCGUUACCAACAGAAUAAGCACCGGCUAACUUCGUGCCAGCCGCCGCGGUAAUAC
rnacentral:rRNA from 1 species